UACAGAGGGGGCAAGCGUUAUUCGGAAUUAUUGGGCGUAAAGGGCGCGUAGGCGGCUUCGCAAGUGACGGGUGAAAUCCCUCGGCUUAACCGAGGAACUGCCUGUCAGACUGCAUGGCUUGAGACCAGGAGAGGUGAGUGGAAUUCCCAGUGUAGCGGUGAAAUGCGUAGAUAUUGGGAGGAACACCAGUGGCGAAGGCGGCUCACUGGACUGGUACUGACGCUGAGGCGCGAAAGCGUGGGGAGCGAACAGG
rnacentral:rRNA from 1 species